rnacentral:rRNA from 1 species
UACAGAGGUCUCAAGCGUUGUUCGGAUUCAUUGGGUUUAAAGGGUCCGUAGGCGGCUUUAUAAGUCAGUGGUGAAAGCCCAUCGCUUAACGAUGGAACGGCCAUUGAUACUGUAGAGCUUGAAUUACUUGGAAGUAACUAGAAUAUGUAGUGUAGCGGUGAAAUGCUUAGAUAUUACAUGGAAUACCAAUUGCGAAGGCAGGUUACUACAAGUGGAUUGACGCUGAUGGACGAAAGCGUGGGGAGCGAACAGG